rnacentral:rRNA from 1 species
UACGUAGGGGGCAAGCGUUGUCCGGAUUUAUUGGGCGUAAAGAGCGUGUAGGCGGCCACACAGGUCUGCUGUGAAAACUCGAGGCUCAACCUCGAGCUGUCGGUGGAAACCGUGUGGCUAGAGUCCGGAAGGAGGAGAGUGGAAUUCCCGGUGUAGCGGUGAAAUGCGCAGAUAUCGGGAAGAACACCCGUGGCGAAGGCGGCUCUCUGGACGGUACUGACGCGUGAGGAGCGAAAGCAU